rnacentral:tRNA from 1 species
GCAUUUGUGGUUCAGUGGUAGAAUUCUCGCCUCCCACGCGGGAGACCGGGGUGCGAUUCCCGGCCAAUGCA